rnacentral:rRNA from 1 species
AAUAUUUCACAAUGUAGGAAACUCUGUUGCAGCGACGCCGCGGGAACGAUGAAGGCUUUCGGGGCGUAAAGUUCUUUCCUAGGGGACGAUAAUGACGGUACCUUAGGAGGAAGCCUCGGCUAAUAACGGGCCAGCAGCCGCGGUAAAACGUAGGGGGCAAGGGUUGUACGGAUUUAUUGGGCGUAAAGGGUUCUCAGGCGGCAUUUUAAGUCAGAUGAGAAAGACUACAGCUCAAAAGUGGUAAGCAUUUGAACAUGAAAGGCUUGAGUUAAGGGGAGGAAAGUGGAAUUCCUAGUGUAGCGGUGAAAUGCGUAGAUAUUAGGAGGAAUACCAGUGGCGAAGGCGACUUUCUGGAAUUAUACUGACGCUGAGGAACGAAAGCGUGGGGAGCAAACA